CGAGGAUUCCUCUAGUAAGGGCGAGUGAACGAGGAAAAGCCCAGCGCUGAAUCCUUCGGCCACUGGUCGCUUGGAAUUGUAGCGUAUAGGUGCAACUGUCCGAUUGUUUCGUGCACCCAAAGUCCCCUUGAGCGGGGCUAUAGUCCAAAGAAGGUGCUAGACCUGUACGGGUGGCGAAUCGGUUGGUAGGUUGCUCCUUGGAGUCGGGUUGCCUGGGAUCGCAGCCCAAAGUUGGUGGUAGAUCUCAUCUAAGGCUAAAUAUGGCCAUGAAACCGAUAGCAAACAAGUACCGUGAGGGAAAGUUGCAAAGAACUUUGAAGAGAGAGUUCAAGAGGGCGUGAAACCGCUGAGAUUGAAACGGAUAGAGUUGACGGAACUUAGCUGCAUUCAUCCGAUCGGCUUAGCGGCCCAAUGGUUUUGACUUCCUCGAUGAGGGCAACACCAUUGUUAGCUGUUGAGUAUUUGAUCGGUGUAUUUGCGGCUGGUAUGCGCUGAGAGCUUUGUUAUCGCUUGUUGACGAAUGUGCAGUGGACCAUUCCUUCGGGGCGUGGAACCCUUCGCAUUUUGAGCCAUGUCGAUUAUAAAGUUUUGAACGUGUCGUCUCCGCUAUUAUGUGCGUCGGCUUUCUCGAGUUGUUGUGGCUAUUGGGUUAUCGCAUGCGAUCACCUGUAGUCGUUGAUAGCACGAUGAAAGCGCGGACGCGUUGAGACGUAUAUCUCGGUGUGAACGUUGACCACCUAUCCGA
rnacentral:rRNA from 1 species